AACUACUAUAGAACUUCAGAGCAAAGGAAG
rnacentral:piRNA from 1 species